GCUCCGGUAGUAUAGCCCGGACAAGUAUACGGGCCUUUCGAGCCCGUGACCCGGGUUCAAAUCCCGGCCGGAGCACCA
rnacentral:tRNA from 1 species